UGUCAAGGUAGUUCUUUACAGUCAUCUGCAAAUCAAAUGCAGUCAGUGGGAACCCAUAAGUUGACAUAGCAAUAAUGUACUUCGCAAACAAGCCUUCUUCAUCGCUGGAAAAUGUUGUCUGCCCACCUGAAGCAUUUGGAUGUUUACCAUGGAUUUUUCCAGAAAGUGUGUUUCUGUGAAUGCCAUAUCUGUAACAAUAUUAACCAAGUAUCAGUAUAGAUACAGGAAAUGUUAUUGCACAGAAAAAGUGUAAAGAAGUUACAAAAUUUUUGGUAACUUACUUUUCAGCAGCUGCACGAACAGAAAUCUUCUUUGCACGAACCUCAUUCAAAGCUUUUUCCAGAUUUUUUUCUGAAUAAUUUUUAUAUUGACGACUUCCACGCUUUCUCACAUAGUGCCGCACCAUUAUUAAUGAACCUAAAAUGAAAAAACAAAAAUACCAACAUGCAUUACUCUCGUUUUAAUAAAAGUAAUUCUGCAAUGUGUUCUUUCGAAAUGGUAUUGAUGGAAAAAAUUGAGCUAGCAGUUUUUUUUAUUAUUUAUUAUUGUUGGUGUGAAUUAUAUUUAUAUAAUUGUUGCUUUAACUUUGGUAUUUAGGCUAGAUUGUUUUUAUGUUGAUCCAAGAUGGCGUCGAUUGUUCUACUCAAGAUGCUGAUGACUCCCAAAGAGUCCAAAUGGGAAAGGUCUACACGGAUAGCUCUGAACAGCAAGUGUGAACACAUCCCUGGUGUACGCUCACUCCGGCAGCCAGACGCAGACCGGCGGAGUGGUUGAUGGAACAGGAGAGCAGAGGGAGCUAGCAACUGUUCCACACAAGUCACGAGUGGCACUGCCUUGCGCAACACUUCAACCUCACGGGCCUCGCAAAACAAAUUUCAGGCUGUAAUAGUCUCGUUGAAUAAUUUGUAGGGAAGAGAGAAAUAAUGCUGAACAAAAUGCACCACUCUUGGAUGUCAGAAAUAAAAGUUUAGCUCCAUAUAUUUCCUGACUGUUCAUAUCCUAGCUUCUUAUGCUGCAUUUUUAAACACAUUUGAAAUAAUUAUGACAGUGUCAAUGCAUGCACUCGACAAUACCCUAACAAACUUAAGGUGCAUGGCACUUAACAUAUCUGCACAUUGUACAAAUUAAUUAAUUUUCUGUCACACAAUAUGAUCUUACAAAAAAAAAUGGCUCACACUUGAAACAAUGUGGUACUAGAUAAUAUAAGCCCAAGCAGUUGUUUUAUUGAACUGAACAAUGUAUUUGUGGUACACUUGCUGUUCAAUACAAAAGCUUGAAUAUGUAUAUCUUUACUGUACUGAAAACCACAAACAGUCACUAACCAGACAACAUACUACUGUACGUAACAAAAAAAAUUAGUUGAGAAAACAAACUGAGGUACAAACACUAUUACUUCCAUAAACAUUUCCAUUAAGAUGUGCGGACAAAGUAGCAUGGUGAACAUCUUCAACAAGUCUACAAUUUAACAUAAGCCAUGUUUGUCAGACAGCAAUGUUCAAAUAAACUGCUUAAACUGCCAAAACAAUAAUUAGCAAAACAUACAGUUUUAAAUUCUUUCAUUACUUCAGAGGUAAUUCACAUACUGUUACAAGGAUGCUAGAGAUGGGGCAGGCCUGUGUUGCGAGGCAGGCCGGCCAACCCGACGCACCGGCCAGCGGGAGUUCAGGGGAGGCCUCACCUUCUCGCACACAGUCCCUCCCCUACCGUUACACGGAUAUCCAACUAGCAGCUGCACCUCUCUGUCCCGUCCACGUGAAGUGGCGUAACUAGGACGCCACUGUUCUGGCUGCUGAGGGCUACCAGACCUGUCCCGGGCGGGGCUCGCAGGCACGCAAGGCGACGACGACGACCUCCUGCGGGGGGCUGGUGGCCAUACCGGGGGAUCCUCGGAGGUACCCGCCAGAGCGGGCCUCGUGUGCGGAGACCGGAGCAACGGGAACAGUGUCGCGGCGUGGAGCGAGUAGCCCGAGGCAGUGUGCUGGGACCGGGACGAACAGCAGAGAGAGCCAUUGUCCAGUCGAGGUCCAGUGGACUCACGAAAGUGGGAUUACUUUGUGGAAAAACAAAUUGUCAUAAUUUAAUUAAUAGUGAAAAUAUUAGCUAAUAAAAACUACAAUUAAUUAAUUGGGCUAUCCUGUUGGACUUGUUUUUCCCACUUGUAACAAUAUGUAUCCCUAUAAUUAAAAAGCUAUUAAA